rnacentral:rRNA from 1 species
AUUGAACGCUGGCGGCAGGCCUAACACAUGCAAGUCGAGCGAGGGGCGGACGGGUGAGUAAUGUAUGGGGAUCUGCCCGAUAGAGGGGGAUAACUACUGGAAACGGUUGCUAAUACCGCAUACUAUCGGAUGAACCCAGAUGGGAUUAGCUAGUAGGUGGGGUAACGGCGCACCUAGGCGGAGAUCCCUAGCUGGUCUGAGAGGAUGACCAGCCCAAAUGGGAAUGAGACCAGGUCCAGCCUCCUAACGGCGGCACGCGUUGGGAAUUGUUCACAAUGGGAGGAAGCCUGAUUCAGGCAUUCCGCGUGGAUUAAGAAGGCCUUAGGGUUGUAAAGUACUUUCAGCGUGGAGGCGUUACCCGCAGAAGAAGCACCGGCUAACUCCGUGCCAGCCGCCGCGGUAAUUC